UAUGAGAAACCUAAAAGUGGGGACGUGAAAAGUUGAGAGUGGGUUGGGCUUCCAUGCGUAAGAAACAGAGGAAGUGUUCUUCCUCUAAGGCGUGAGCUAUGUUCUAGGGUUUCAAAUCUAGGUUUUAUGAGAAAAAGAUACAAGAGUGAGUCUUGUCUAAUCUUUCACACCACCACCUCUUCAUAAAGUUUCAUCUUCUGAUCCAAAAAAGUCCAGG
rnacentral:lncRNA from 1 species